GACAGAGGGUGCAAACGUUGUUCGGAUUUACUGGGCGUAAAGCGCGCGUAGGCGGCUUUGCAAGUCGGGUGUGAAAUCCCCAGGCUUAACCUGGGAACUGCAUUCGAGACUGCAUUGCUAGAGUAUGGGAGAGGGAAGUGGAAUUUCAGGUGUAGCGGUGAAAUGCGUAGAUAUCUGAAGGAACACCAGUGGCGAAGGCGACUUCCUGGCCUGUAACUGACGCUGAGGCGCGAAAGCGUGGGGAGCAAACAGG
rnacentral:rRNA from 1 species